rnacentral:tRNA from 1 species
GCCCCCGUUGUGUAGCGGCCUAGCACGCUGCCCUCUCAAGGCAGUAGCGUAGCGCCGGUUCGAAUCCGGUCGGGGGUA